GGGCUCAGCUGUCUCGAGCAGAUUCACUGAGUGAGAUGAGGACUCGGGGAGGGAGCAGGUGAGGGCCCCAGGAGGGGGUCCUGGGCCAUGAACCUGUCUGGGGAACAACGGGAGAGGCCCACGAGGAUGCCUCCAAGGACCACAGGGCUCGUGGGGAGAAGCUGGAGGAAGCCUGGUGGGGAAACGGGGUUGGAGCAGGGGGACAGAGGGAAGAAGCCCUGGUAGCGCCAGGGCCUGAGGCAGAGAGGUACGACAGAGGACACCCAGUGGUGAGGCCUUGUAGGGCGGGAGACGCGUUCCCCAGAGAUGCUGCCAGAGGGGCCUCGCCGGAACCAGGUUCUCUAAGCUACAUCCAGCUGGUGGCUUCUAAAGAGAACUGGACACCAUGGCAUCUGCCAGCCCAGACGCCUAUCACCAGCAGAAUAAGCCAGACCCAAGAAAAUGCUUGUGAACAGGGAUCUCUGUUCCCAUCACCACUGCUAGAAGGGCCAAAGCACGUUCCUCCAUGUGAUUUAUCUGCGCAUUCAAAAGCCUAGGGAGAGCCUCCCUGUCUGCCAGCAUUUUGGGAGAAUGCCCAGGACCUGUGCAAGGAAAUCAGAUUCUCUGGCAGCUGCUUUCAAAGGCCACAGAUACUCUAAAAAAGACAGAGUUGGAACUGAAACUCUGACUUGGGAGAGUCACCUUGCUGGGGACUCACAAAGAGCGAGGAAGAGCAGGGGUGUUGUGGCCCCGAGUCAGCCCUUCUCAAUUUGUCCAUACCAGCCAGCAGGCAUUUGCGCUGAGCUGGACAGCAGCCCAGCCCAGCAAGGCCGACAUCUCAGUUCACAUCAGAGGUCAGUAAAGCAGGGCGACUGGAACACAGAGAUCCUGCCAUGAUGAUGGCAGCUCACUUGGAGGGCCUGGGCAUGCCCAGCAGGCGCUGAGCCCUGUUGAGGGGGACAGGAGGCUGACAAAGGGCCCCGGGAGAGGUCAGCAAGCGGCCACACAGACUCCAAAGCUGUCUGCUCUGUUCCAAAGGUGCUCUCCCUGCCUAAGCUGGAAUAACAACUUUGAGGAGAUAAAACACUUUUUACCAUCCAUGGACUCUUGCUACCAAAGAUCCUUCCAGAGACCUGUGCCCUCCCCUCACCAAAGAAACUUAAUCCCCAUGAAGCUCUGCCUUUCAGGAUGUUUGGACAACUCUGGGUUGACUCUUUUCCCCUGACCACAUGAUCGUCUUCAUGGGUAAGCCAGGUACGCACUGUUGGCCCACACCUGAACCGCACUGAAUAAUAACCCUCGCCUGGACGCAACAUCUAACAGAUCACAACAGCUCAUGCAGGCUUGCUCUGUCACACAGCCAAUGCUCUUAACCUUCAGCAAAACUGUUUUUUCAUGCAACACAGUUAAAUCAGCCCACUUUGUUUCAACAUGUUCUCAUCAUUUCUGAGACAUGGUGUCAGUUGUCACUAGAUGGAAAUGAACAACUUAGGAAUCAAAAAGGAAGAACAGAAGACAGUUUUUAAUGAUUCAAAUUAUAUUAUGCAAAGUUCCCCCAAACACAAGUGACCACAAAACGCUCUACUAACGUAGGAUUUUGUGUUCUGCAAAUAAAAUGUGCUAGCUGUGCCAGUUCAUUUUUGGGUACCACGCCUAGUGUUCCCUUUUCCAGGCCAGAACCCCCGAUGCCAAGACUCUUGGGGUGGGGAGGAGGGGCUUCCUGUUUGGCCAUGAACCCAUUCCAUGACCCAGAGAAAAUUUCUGUCUUUUUCUUCCGAUCUUAGGAGGAGACACACUUCCCCGAAGUGAGAUGUCCAGCUGAAGCCAGCUGAAGUCCAUAGAGAGAGGCGAGUGUCCACACCAGCACCCCAACUUCAGUUCCUUGUCGAGGGGUGGUGCUCCAAACACAAUGCCAGAGGACGAUGAUUGACCGUAAAAAUGUGAAAAUCUAUGCAGUUCCUAGAGCUGCCCAGAGAGCAGUGGAACCUGGUUUGUGCUUUCUUUCACUUUUAAUGACUUCCUCUGCAGACAAAGCCCCACCAGGACAGAACUUACCAAGUUCAGAAAGUUCCAGGGCAUUCUACCAGGCUACCCUUAUUCUCAAAAGUUGCUGGGCUCUGUGGGCGACCUUUUGGGCCUCCUCCAGCCCCUCCUAAUUCUUCCAGGGGAAGAUAGGGUCACCUGACCCCCCAGUGCUGGUGGCCAGGAUCUGAGCUAGAUCUUGGACCCCUUGACACCCCAGGCAGCUGCUGCCCUGUGGCAGGCUGCAUGGCACAGGGUCCCAGGACAAGCAGGUGCUCCCAGGGCCUUUGGGGUGCCUGAGCUCAGGCUAACCUUGUCCUUCACCAUCUCCCUGAUUUCAAUCAAACACAUGUCCAUUGAGUCAGUGAGGCCAUCCAACCAUCUCAUCCUCUGUCAUCCCCUUUUCCUCAUGCUCUCAAUCUUUCCUAGCAUCAGGGUCUUUUCCAAAGAGUCAGCUCUGUGGCCCAAGUAUUGGAACUUCAGUAUCAGUCCUUCCAAUGAAUAUUCAGGGUUGAUUUCCUUAGGAUUGACUGGUCUGAUCUCCUUGCUGUCCAAGGAACUGUCGGGAGUCUUCUCCAGCACCACAGUUCGAAAGCAUCAAUUCUUCUUCACUCAGCCUUCUUCAUGGUUCAAAUCUCACAUCCACACAUGACUCCUGGCCAUGAUCUAAUACCAUUUUCUGUCUUUAUCUAUUUUUUUAUGGUAACCUCUUCAUGGUAAUGACACAUAUUUAUCUUUUUAAAAAUAAAUUCACUCUUUUAGUAAAAUACAUGUCUUGUUCAAAGAAAAAAAAUGUGUAAAUAAUGGUUUCAAGGAAUAAAAUCUACAAUGAAGUUUGGAAACACUGAAUCUGAUCCUGCCUCUGACAUCUGAAAGGCUUUCAUAGCAUCCCCAUCAGAAGAGGGGCUAGUUCUGCUCACACACCUCCUGUGAUGGGGAGCUCACUACAUACAAAAGGCAGGCAGCCCUAUUUAGCUUUCCAGGGCAGUGCUGAGCCCAGGUCUACAGGGCAACUCAACUCUCCAUCCUCACGGGGACAUCUCUGUAUAGUGGGCACUCGUUUACACCCGCAGCCUGCUCUGCCAGGUAAAACAGCCAACUGGGCAGCAGUUCCACUUCCUCUUGGAGGGAACCUUGCCACCCAGGAACAACAGUUGGUGGUUUUUUCUCUUAAAGAGCAGCACCAGGAAUGGAGGCCAGUGUUCCAGGAGGAGCUGGACCUUUCCCCGGCUUCCAGGAGUGGAGGCUAGGAGGCAGCCACUAGCCCUGGGGACAUCACCAGGAACUCCCAGGACCACUAGAGAGUAGGCAAAAGCUGGGCUCUGAAGGAAGAGCAUUUCACAAAUAACUGUGUGACUGGGGCCUUCCCCUAUAAGCCCCAGCACCUCUUCCUCUGGCUCCGACU
ensembl:lncRNA